AGACCCGAAACCCGGUGAUCUAGCCAUGGGCAGGUUGAAGGUUGGGUAACACUAACUGGAGGACCGAACCGACUAAUGUUGAAAAAUUAGCGGAUGACCUGUGGCUGGGGGUGAAAGGCCAAUCAAACCGGGAGAUAGCUGGUUCUCCCCGAAAGCUAUUUAGGUAGCGCCUCGUGAAUUCAUCUCCGGGGGUAGAGCACUGUUUCGGCUAGGGGGCCAUCCCGGCUUACCAACCCGAUGCAAACUGCGAAUACCGGAGAAUGUUAUCACGGGAGACACACGGCGGGUGCUAACGUCCGUCGUGAAGAGGGAAACAACCCAGACCGCCAGCUAAGGUCCCAAAGUCAUGGUUAAGUGGGAAACGAUGUGGGAAGGCCCAGACAGCCAGGAUGUUGGCUUAGAAGCAGCCAUCAUUUAAAGAAAGCGUAAUAGCUCACUGGUCGAGUCGGCCUGCGCGGAAGAUGUAACGGGGCUAAACCAUGCACCGAAGCUGCGGCAGCGAACGUAUCACCCAAGACAACUUUACGGAGUUGACGAUUGACGGAGCGAAGCGACGUCAAAGCGUUCAUUAAAGUCGAGUUGGCUUAGGGAUACGUUCGUUGGGUAGGGGAGCGUUCUGUAAGCCUGUGAAGGUGUGUCGUGAGGCAUGCUGGAGGUAUCAGAAGUGCGAAUGCUGACAUAAGUAACGAUAAAGCGGGUGAAAAGCCCGCUCGCCGGAAGACCAAGGGUUCCUGUCCAACGUUAAUCGGGGCAGGGUGAGUCGACCCCUAAGGCGAGGCCGAAAGGCGUAGUCGAUGGGAAACGGGUUAAUAUUCCCGUACUUGGUGUUACUGCGAAGGGGGGACGGAGAAGGCUAUGUUGGCCGGGCGACGGUUGUCCCGGUUUAAGCGUGUAGGUGUGUGUUCCAGGUAAAUCCGGUUCACUUUAACACUGAGGCGUGAUGACGAGGCACUACGGUGCUGAAGCAACAAAUGCCCUGCUUCCAGGAAAAGCCUCUAAGCAUCAGGUAACAUCAAAU
rnacentral:rRNA from 1 species